rnacentral:rRNA from 1 species
UACGUAGGGGGGCAAGCGUUGUCCGGAAUCAUUGGGCGUAAGGAGCGUGUAGGCGGCCAGAUAAGUCCGCUGUGAAAUCUCGAGGCUCAACUUCGAGCUGUCGGUGGAAACUGUCUGGCUAGAGUGCGGAAGGGGCAACUGGAAUUCUUGGUGUAGCGGUGAAAUGCGUAGAUAUCAAGAGGAACACCUGCGGCGAAGGCGGGUUGCUGGGCCGACACUGACGCUGAUGCGCGAAAGCUAGGGGAGCGAACGGG